rnacentral:rRNA from 1 species
AAAUUGAAGAGUUUGAUCAUGGCUCAGAUUGAACGCUGGCGGCAGGCCUAACACAUGCAAGUCGAACGGUAACAGGAAGCAGCUUGCUGCUUCGCUGACGAGUGGCGGACGGGUGAGUAAUGUCUGGGAAACUGCCUGAUGGAGGGGGAUAACUACUGGAAACGGUAGCUAAUACCGCAUAACGUCGCAAGACCAAAGAGGGGGACCUUCGGGCCUCUUGCCAUCGGAUGUGCCCAGAUGGGAUUAGCUAGUAGGUGGGGUAACGGCUCACCUAGGCGACGAUCCCUAGCUGGUCUGAGAGGAUGACCAGCCACACUGGAACUGAGACACGGUCCAGACUCCUACGGGAGGCAGCAGUGGGGAAUAUUGCACAAUGGGCGCAAGCCUGAUGCAGCCAUGCCGCGUGUAUGAAGAAGGCCUUCGGGUUGUAAAGUACUUUCAGCGGGGAGGAAGGGAGUAAAGUUAAUACCUUUGCUCAUUGACGUUACCCGCAGAAGAAGCACCGGCUAACUCCGUGCCAGCAGCCGCGGUAAUACGGAGGGUGCAAGCGUUAAUCGGAAUUACUGGGCGUAAAGCGCA